GAAGUGGUAGGUCAGUGGUUAAGAUGUUGGCCUAGUACUCAGAAGGUUAUGAGUUCAAAUCCCAGCUCCCACU